GAGGGUGUAGCUCAGUGGUAGAGCGUGUGCUUAGCAUGCACAAGGUCCUGGGUUCAAUCCCCAGUACCUCCA
rnacentral:tRNA from 1 species